GGUGAAGAACGCAGCGAAAUGCGAUAAGUAAUGUGAAUUGCAGAAUUCAGUGAAUCAUCGAAUCUUUGAACGCACAUUGCGCCCAUUAGUAUUCUAGUGGGCAUGCCUGUUCGAGCGUCAUUUCAACCCUUAAGCCUAGCUUAGUGUUGGGAGACUGCCUAAUACGCAGCUCCUCAAAACCAGUGGCGGAGUCUGUUCGUGCUCUGAGCGUAGUAAUUUUUUAUCUCGCUUCUGCAAGCCGGCCAGACGACAGCCAUAAACCGCACCCUCUCGGGGGGCACUUUUUUAAUGGUUGACCUCGGAUCAGGUAGGAAUACCCGCUGAACUUAAGCAUAUCAAUAAGCGGAGGA
rnacentral:misc_RNA from 1 species